rnacentral:rRNA from 1 species
CCUACGGGUGGCAGCAGUCGAGAAUCAUUCACAAUGGGGGAAACCCUGAUGGUGCGACGCCGCGUGGGGGAAUGAAGGUCUUCGGAUUGUAAACCCCUGUCAUGUGGGAGCAAAUUAAAAAGAUAGUACCACAAGAGGAAGAGACGGCUAACUCUGGGACAGCAGCCGCGGUAAUACAGAGGUCUCAAGCGUUGUUCGGAAUCACUGGGCGUAAAGCGUGCGUAGGCUGUUUCGUAAGUCGUGUGUGAAAGGCGCGGGCUCAACCCGCGGACGGCACAUGAUACUGCGAGACUAGAGUAAGGGAGGGGGAACCGGAAUUCUCGGUGUAGCAGUGAAAUGCGUAGAUAUCGAGAGGAACACUCGUGGCGAAGGCGGGUUCCUGGACAUUAACUGACGCUGAGGCACGAAGGCCAGGGGAGCGAAAGGGAUUAGAUACCCUUGUAGUC